GAACUGCGAUAAGUAGUGUGAAUUGCAGAAUUCAGUGAAUCAUCGAAUCUUUGAACGCACAUUGCGCCCUUUGGUAUUCCAAAGGGCAUGCCUGUUCGAGCGUCAUUUGUACCCUCAAGCUUUGCUUGGUGUUGGGCGUCUUGUCUCUAGCUUUGCUGGAGACUCGCCUUAAAGUAAUUGGCAGCCGGCCUACUGGUUUCGGAGCGCAGCACAAGUCGCACUCUCUAUCAGCAAAGGCCUAGCAUCCAUUAAGCCUUUUUUCAACUUUUGACCUCGGAUCAGGUAGGGAUACCCGCUGAACUUAAGC
rnacentral:misc_RNA from 1 species